CUUGAGUCCCUACUUGGCAGGUGGUGAGGGGAUCCCGGGGGAGCCCAGAAGGAAGAGAACCAAACAUCAGCUGUGACCUGCUCUCAGGAGCACUGAGUGGGGCGCGUCUGUGGGUCCCCACCGGCCAAAGAAUAUUCCGCUGUGCGUACGUGCCACAUUGUGUUGAUCCAUUCAUCUGUUGGUGGACACUUGGGCUGUUUCCACCUUUUGGCUGUUUGAAGAAUGCUGCUGUGAGUAUUGUGCACAGGUGCAGUGGAUUGAACCACGCCCCCCACAAAGACGUUCCUAUCCUAACCCCCAGUCCUAUGGGUGGGGACUCAUUUGUACAUAGGAUGGUCAAAGAUCCUACUUGGAUGAGGCCAAAUUGAAUCAGGGUGGGCCUUAAUCCAAUAUGACAGAAGUUCUUACAACCAGAGGAAAUUCAGAUGCAGUCCUCAGUAGAAGCCAGAAGGAGAAGCCAGGAAGGGAGAGACAGAUCAUCAUGCAACAGAAGCAAAGAAGCAUCCACAAGCCAAGGAAUGCCGAGGAUUGCUGACAAGCCAGCACCAGAACACUACAGAUUCCAGGAGAAAGCCUGGCCUGGCAAGAUGUUGAUUUUGAACUCCCAGACUCCAAAACUGUGAGACAAUAAAUCCCUGUGGUUUAAGCCAACCAGUGUGUGGUACUUGUCACAGCAGUGCUGGCCACUGAAGACAGCUGGAUCACUCUCUCUGCCCUCGCUCUGCUCUGGGCACACUGCUGCUUCCCAUCAGUCUUCUGUUCAGUGGUUUGUUU